UAUGGCUUUUCUUUUGUAUGACAUUUCAGGUGCUUCUUCAGGACUGAAGACCACAAAAAUGUUUUUCCGCACUGAUCACAUGUGAACGGCUUCCCUCCAGUGUGGAUGUUCAUGUGUUCUUUAAGGUUUGCUGAUUGUGCAAAACUCUUUCCACAUUGAUCACAAGUGUACGGUUUCUCUCCAGUAUGAACCUUCAUAUGCACCUUAAGCUGUCCUUUUUGUGAGAAACUUAUUCCGCACUGAUCACAUGUGUGUGGUUUUUCUCCAGUGUGGAUCCUCUCAUGAUUUUUCAGGAUUCCUGACUGAUUGAAGCUCUUGUCGCAGUAUGAACACUUGUAAGGUUUCUCUCCAGGGUGGAUGUUCAUGUGUUCUUUAAG